rnacentral:rRNA from 1 species
GGGUUAAGUCCCGCAACGAGCGCAACCCCUGCAUUCAGUUGCCAUCGGUAAGGCCGGGCACUCUGGAUGGACUGCCGGCGACAAGCCGGAGGAAGGUGGGGACGACGUCAAGUCAUCAUGGCCCUUAUGUCCAGGGCGACACACGUGCUACAAUGGCCGGCACAACGGGAAGCGAAGGGGCGACCCUGAGCGGAUCCCACAAAAGCCGGUCUCAGUUCGGAUUGCAGUCUGCAACUCGACUGCAUGAAGUUGGAAUCGCUAGUAAUCGUGGAUCAGCCAAGCCGCGGUGAAUACGUUCCCGGGCCUU